GGUUAAGCGACUAAGCGUACACGGUGGAUGCCCUGGCAGUCAGAGGCGAUGAAGGACGUGCUAAUCUGCGAUAAGCGUCGGUAAGGUGAUAUGAACCGUUAUAACCGGCGAUUUCCGAAUGGGGAAACCCAGUGUGAUUCGUCACACUAUCAUUAACUGAAUCCAUAGGUUAAUGAGGCGAACCGGGGGAACUGAAACAUCUAAGUACCCCGAGGAAAAGAAAUCAACCGAGAUUCCCCCAGUAGCGGCGAGCGAACGGGGAGCAGCCCAGAGCCUGAAUCAGUGUGUGUGUUAGUGGAAGCGUCUGGAAAGGCGCGCGAUACAGGGUGACAGCCCCGUACACAAAAAUGCACAUGCUGUGAGCUCGAUGAGUAGGGCGGGACACGUGGUAUCCUGUCUGAAUAUGGGGGGACCAUCCUCCAAGGCUAAAUACUCCUGACUGACCGAUAGUGAACCAGUACCGUGAGGGAAAGGCGAAAAGAACCCCGGCGAGGGGAGUGAAAAAGAACCUGAAACCGUGUACGUACAAGCAGUGGGAGCACAGAGCAAUCUGUGUGACUGCGUACCUUUUGUAUAAUGGGUCAGCGACUUAUAUUCUGUAGCAAGGUUAACCGAAUAGGGGAGCCGAAGGGAAACCGAGUCUUAACUGGGCGUUAAGUUGCAGGGUAUAGACCCGAAACCCGGUGAUCUAGCCAUGGGCAGGUUGAAGGUUGGGUAACACUAACUGGAGGACCGAACCGACUAAUGUUGAAAAAUUAGCGGAUGACUUGUGGCUGGGGGUGAAAGGCCAAUCAAACCGGGAGAUAGCUGGUUCUCCCCGAAAGCUAUUUAGGUAGCGCCUCGUGAAUUCAUCUCCGGGGGUAGAGCACUGUUUCGGCAAGGGGGUCAUCCCGACUUACCAACCCGAUGCAAACUGCGAAUACCGGAGAAUGUUAUCACGGGAGACACACGGCGGGUGCUAACGUCCGUCGUGAAGAGGGAAACAACCCAGACCGCCAGCUAAGGUCCCAAAGUCAUGGUUAAGUGGGAAACGAUGUGGGAAGGCCCAGACAGCCAGGAUGUUGGCUUAGAAGCAGCCAUCAUUUAAAGAAAGCGUAAUAGCUCACUGGUCGAGUCGGCCUGCGCGGAAGAUGUAACGGGGCUAAACCAUGCACCGAAGCUGCGGCAGCGACACU
rnacentral:rRNA from 1 species